CACCAUAUUUAUUUCAAAGUUAAUUUUCUCUAUCUUCACCAAAGAAAUCUGGAAAACUCUCUCAUUCUCAAACAAACCCUAGCCGCCGCCUCCUCCCUCCUUCAGUGUGUCCCCGGCGGUCGUUACAUUGCUCCACCAUCUUCAUCCUCUCCUUUUCAUCUGUAAUUAUACUCUAUCAAAUUUAUUUCAAGUCAAAGAUGAUUUUAAAUUUCCCUACGACCAUCUUUUCGGCUAGAUCUUGACAUCCACGUACAAGCUUUUGAAAAUCCAUCACCAUAAAAAGAGUCCCCUCCAUCUUCUCUACAAAACCCAUUUAAAAAUAUCAGGAAUGGACAACCUUCGCCGGUGACCACCACGCCGGAGCUUGCAACCACCGCGCCGGGAAAGAGCUUACGUGUUUUCAUCCCGAUCUGGGUCAGAAUUUUUACACAAACACUUAAACCUGGGCUGUUGUCUUCAUCAAGGUCAAGUUCUUUACAUAUUUUGUUUCCAUUACAUGCAACAACAACAAUACAAAUAUGAAAUUGGAUGUGAUUUUGUUUUAUUUCUAGAGAUGUAAAUUUUUUUUUGUAGAUGAAUCUUUUUUAGUUCCGAUGCUACUGAUAAAAAAGUCUGUUUUUUCAAUGAAUCUUUGAUAGAACAGAUUUUUUUAUUUUUUUUACAGAUGAAUAAAAAUUUUAUUUGCAAAUCAAAAGAAUUUUUUUUUUCACUUUCAAUAUUCACUUUCUGUUAUUACUUGUUAUGAUUUAACAAAAAUUUCACUUAGAUUUUCUUGUAAUAUGACUCAAAUAAUAUUCAUUUCUUUCUAAAAAAAAAUUCACUUUAUGCUAUUACUUCACUUGUUGUGGUUUAACUAAAAACAUAGUUUUUUUAUAUUUACAAAUGAAUAUAUUUUGUAUAUUUGCUUUUUUGUUGUUGAUAUAAUUAUAAAAUUGUGUUAGGACUGUUUUUGUUAAAUAUACAUGAUAUGAAGGUCAACAACAAAUGAAAUAAUUAAUGAUAUUAGGAAAAUGAAUUCUUAUACCUGCCGUGUUCUUCUUGUUGUCAAAGAGAGAAGAGGAAAAGGAAAAUGAGAGAGGAGAGACAGUUGAGAGAAUGAGAGAGAGAUUUUUUUUUUUGAAAGAGAGUGAAUGAGAGAGUAUUAAAUUAUGAAAGAGUAGUGAAUGACAAUAUAGGAGUAUUUGAAAUUUGAAAUUGAAAAUUUGCCACCAAUUGAUUGUAGAUCUGACAUUAGAUUAUACUCCCUCCGUCCCAAAUUGUAUGACGUUUUAGGCAUUUCACACAUAUUAAGAAAUGUAAUUAAUAUUGUGUGGGAAAAAGAUAUUAUGAAUUGUUUUACAAAAUUGUUCUCAAUAAAUGAUAUGGAAAAGAUAAAUGAAGGAAUUGAAAGAAGAGAGAGUAAUAAAUAGUUAAGGAUAUAAUAGAAAAAGUAACAUUAAUUUUUCAUUGGUAUUGUAAAGCGACAUACAAUUUGGGACAAAUAUUUUUUCUAAAGUGACAUACAAUUUGGGACGGAGGGAGUAUCUUUUUUGUACAAAAGAAAACUUUUUUCGUUUUCCGUGUCAACCAAAAUCGGAUUUAUUUAGUUGGCAUCAAAUGGAAAUGACUUUAUGAAGAGCAAAUGAACUAAACUAUUAGUUAUUUGUAGUUACAUGACAUCAUCUUAGUUAAUUGUGGUAAUUUGUUUGAAUAAAGUAAGUUAAAGACAGAUUUUACCCUUUGGUGAUUUGUCAAUUAACCAGGUUGGGGCAUUAAUAGGAUUUCCACAACAUCUUCUCUUAUAUUAAGAGAGAUUAUCUUGUACAUUGACUAUACAUAUGAAUUAAAAAGCUUUACAAUACCAAUACAUUACAAUCAACCAUUUGUGUGACCUUAAACGUGGUUAUGAUAACCCAAGAGCUCUUAGAUGAGAUGACGCGGGUCUCUUCUAGCUUAAGCAAGAUCCUGGGUUCGAAUCCAGUCUUGGGCAUACAACAUCGUUAAAACUCGUAGGGAGAGCUUGCCGCCUAUUUGGGUCACACAAUGCUCGAGAGAUUAGUCUUGGCAGUUUCGCGCGCGGAAGAUACCCGAUUUACAAAAAAAAAACGUGAUUAUGAUAAAAUUCAAACAGUUUUAAUGACCAAUUAGUUAUAUUUGAUUCAUACGAUAAACAUCCUUUGCAUUUGACAAUGCACUUAUAUGAAUUAAAUGUUUGCUUUUUAAUGUUUUUGUCCAAAUGGAGAACUCUAUAUUAGCCUUCACUGACUAAUAUCAUUCUCACACAUGUAGCUUUCGUGAAAAGCCUAUUUAAUUAUGUAUCAAUCGAAAGACAGGGUGACACAACACUUAGGGGUGGAAAUAGGCUAGGCUGAGCUGAGCUUUGUAAGGCCUAAGCCUGACCUACUUCAAAAAUUAUACGGCUGAGCCUGGCCUAUUACCUGUCAUAGGCUUAUUUUCGAGGUCUGACCUGGCCUUUUUAAAGGUCUGAUGAAGUCUGAAAGCCUAUUUAGAAGCCUAUUUUACACUAAGGCCUAACAACACAUGUAAGCCUAAUACUAAAUAGGCCAAAACUUAUGAAGGUCUAAAGCACACAAAUAUGUUUGCUACUAAUUAUUGAGAAGGUCUAAUCACACUAAUAUACCUUGCUACUAAAUAACCAAUCAUAAGUUUAUGAGGAAGAAACUUCAACAAUAUCAAUAAUGGAAGAUAUAUUAUAUAUAAAAAUCUUAAUAGGCCGCCCUGACGGGCUUAAUAGGCUUUUGUGUAAGCCUUAGCCUAGCCUAUUUAACUAAACAGGCCUAAUAAAAAGCUUGAGUCUGACCUUGUUAAUAAACUAGCUGGGCCG
rnacentral:lncRNA from 1 species